UCUCCGUUGGUGAACCAGCGGAGGGAUCAUUACAGAGUCGUAAAACACUCCCAAACCCAUGUGAACUUACCAUUGUUGCCUCGGCGGAGCCUACCCUGUAGCUACCCUAUAAGGUGGCUACCCUGUAGCGCCCCGCCGGUGGAUUUUCAAACUCUUGUUAUUUAUUGUAAUCUGAGAGUCUUAUUUUAAAUAAGUCAAAACUUUCAACAACGGAUCUCUUGGUUCUGGCAUCGAUGAAGAACGCAGC
rnacentral:misc_RNA from 1 species